ACAAACCUUUUGACUAUUUUGUCUCUCACACUGUUGUGGGUCAAUGAGUCCACCGAACUAGCGCCCUCUGGUGGAGCCAGUAAUAUCUGCUCUGUCUUCUAACUUUCUCAUUUGACGAUCUCACCUACGCACGGGAUAGACCUUCAGCUGCUUUAGAGGAUAUGUUUCAUCCAGAAGUGUUUAGGACUGGAGCAUGUUGACCUGUUUAUCUCUCAGCCCUGGUGAAAACGAUUAGAGUAAAAUGUCAUUACUUGCAGAGUAGAUGGAGAGAGAGUGACGGUUCAAUGAGGCUGUGCACUGAACUGGCAUGAAAUCCAAGUAAAUGACCAUAAUUUUGUACGUCAAAUUAAACUCAUUUGAGGAUGAGGAACAUCAAGUACAAUAUUCAAGAGUGUGAUCAGAUCAUUAGAAUAACAGAUCAAAACAUAAAGAUACUGUACUCAUCAGACUAUUGAAAUACUGUACCAAUCAUCUCCUGUUUUAUGAUGCUUUUAUGUGGGAUGCCAUUAAAUAUUCAGUGUCGUAGUGGA